rnacentral:lncRNA from 1 species
GCCUCAUCUCAUUUUUAAAGAACUUUUAUCUCAAGGUCCAAUUGUUCUAUCUUUAUUAGAGACCUUCAAAUGAGUAUGACUUAGAAAUCCCAUUGUUUGCUUUUCUUUCUGAUUUAGGGGAACUGUGUCAACUUGACUGAAGCCCUGUCGCUCUAUGAAGAACAGCUGGGGCGUCUGUAUUGUCCUGUGGAAUUCUCAAAAGAGAUUGUCUGUGUCCCUUCAUACUUGGAAUUGUGGGUGUUUUACACUGUUUGGAAGAAAGCUAAGCCUUAAAGAUGAGAAUGACAUGUGCUGCGAGCCACCUUCCUGACCUCCAUAUGCCGUAUAUGCCAUCAAAUGUGUCAGGCAACUGUUCAUGAAUUCCUUCUAGUGGUUUUCACUUUUAAUUAUUAUUUUUAAUUUAAAAAAGCCAAUGGGAAAAAUGUAUAUUUUGAUGAGUUAGGAUGUUAAUUUUUAAAAGUCAGCCGAAGGACAAUUAGACAGCCCAGCAAAGACUGCAGAAUGCACUGACCCCCUAGAAUGUGAUUUUAGUAUUUUUUUUUCUCUGUGUGGGGUUUGGGUUUUCAUUUUGGUUUCAGUAGACCUUUAAUUUGGACAUGUGGAGGAAUGAACACCAUUGUUUUGUUCUGGAGAGAAGUUUCUGAUAGUGUUUCUCCCCUCUCACCCCCAAAUUGACUUAGAUAUUAAAAUUUGGUGCUUUUAAAGGUUUUAAAAGAGUGAUUAGCAGUGCUUCAAUUAAAAUGACAAAGGAGACCUCUUACGGUGUUUGUCCCUUUAUUUCAGCCUCUCUUCCUCUUUCUUACCUCUGAUGGCCUAGGGCAAAGGUGUAUUCUAUCUAGACUGUUAACUGCACUCAGCAUAAUGUCAAGGCCUUGAGGAAUGAUCCACAACCUAUUAUAUUUGCCGCCCCCCAUUAUAAAGUUGUUCCAAGGAUAGCAGAAGAUUUUUGCCUGACUGAAAAGGGUGAAAGUCAAAGAUGAUUUCUGUUACUGCUCUCCCUGAUUAGAGAUCCAAAGGCCUUUGAGAAGACUGUAGGAUGUGCGAGUGCACACUAGAGUUCAUGUAGUCCUGGGGCAAAAUAACUUAACUCUUAAGAAAUUGCAUGUGAAUAGCAACUUGGCAUUGUAUUGUGGAUAAUUUGAAUUGUCUAUCCUAUUGUUUGUGUAAAAUAUUUACACUGUAUCAGUAGAAUGGUAUUUUUUUUUUUUACAGCAAGUAAAACAUUGAAAAUUUACUAAUGGAAAUCAGACUCAAGUUUCAUUGUUCCUCCCAAGGUAGGAAGGAACAAAUAAGACAGGACAAGACAAAUGAUCUUUAAAAGUGAGCACAAACCUAUGCCAUUUGUUUUAGAUUGACAUGGAAGAAGAAACAAUAGACAAUAAAAGGAGUUGAUAGUUAUGUUCA